GGUAACUGCGGUGCAGAGGGCGGGGGAAGACGGGGGAUCCUAGAGUGAUAUGGAUUUGUUGGGGGUGAAUGGUGCGAAGGGAGAAGGUGAAGUCGGCGGUGAAAUUGUGCAGCGCAACUGUAAAAGGGCCUUCGAAACGGGCAUUGUUGAGUAGGGAUGAUGUAGGCGGAAUUGGUGGUGUAGCGGUGAAAUGCAUAGAUAUCACGAGGAACUCCGAUUGCGCAGGCAGCUUACUAAACCAUAACUGACGCUCAUGCACGAAGGCGUGGGGAUCGAACAGGAUUAGAUACCCGUGUAGUC
rnacentral:rRNA from 1 species